rnacentral:rRNA from 1 species
GACAGAGGAUGCAAGCGUUAUCCGGAAUGAUUGGGCGUAAAGCGUCUGUAGGUGGCUUUUUAAGUCCGCCGUCAAAUCCCAGGGCUCAACCCUGGACAGGCGGUGGAAACUACCAAGCUGGAGUACGGUAGGGGCAGAGGGAAUUUCCGGUGGAGCGGUGAAAUGCGUAGAGAUCGGAAAGAACACCAACGGCGAAGGCAGCUCGCUGGGACGUUACUGACGCUGAGACGCGAAAGCGUGGGAGCAACAGG